CAUGCAAGUCGAACGAUGAAGCCCUUCGGGGUGGAUUAGUGGCGAACGGGUGAGUAACACGUGGGCAAUCUGCCCUUCACUCUGGGACAAGCCCUGGAAACGGGGUCUAAUACCGGAUAACACUCCUCAGGGCAUCUUGAGGGGUUAAAAGCUCCGGCGGUGAAGGAUGAGCCCGCGGCCUAUCAGCUUGUUGGUGGGGUGAUGGCCUACCAAGGCGACGACGGGUAGCCGGCCUGAGAGGGCGACCGGCCACACUGGGACUGAGACACGGCCCAGACUCCUACGGGAGGCAGCAGUGGGGAAUAUUGCACAAUGGGCGAAAGCCUGAUGCAGCGACGCCGCGUGAGGGAUGACGGCCUUCGGGUUGUAAACCUCUUUCAGCAGGGAAGAAGCGAAAGUGACGGUACCUGCAGAAGAAGCGCCGGCUAACUACGUGCCAGCAGCCGCGGUAAUACGUAGGGCGCAAGCGUUGUCCGGAAUUAUUGGGCGUAAAGAGCUCGUAGGCGGCUUGUCACGUCGGAUGUGAAAGCCCGGGGCUUAACCCCGGGUCUGCAUUCGAUACGGGCUAGCUAGAGUGUGGUAGGGGAGAUCGGAAUUCCUGGUGUAGCGGUGAAAUGCGCAGAUAUCAGGAGGAACACCGGUGGCGAAGGCGGAUCUCUGGGCCAUUACUGACGCUGAGGAGCGAAAGCGUGGGGAGCGAACAGGAUUAGAUACCCUGGUAGUCCACGCCGUAAACGGUGGGAACUAGGUGUUGG
rnacentral:rRNA from 1 species